GUCCCUUCGGGGACACCUGAUAAAACUGGAAUGUUAUAGGGAAGAUUAGCAUGACCCCUGCACAAGGAUGACACCUGAUUGGUCACUUCGUUCCUUGAUAUUU